rnacentral:rRNA from 1 species
AUUGAACGCUGGCGGCAGGCUUAACACAUGCAAGUCGAGCGAGCGGCGGACGGGUGAGUAAUGUCUGGGACACUGCCUUAUGGAGGGGGAUAACGACGGGAAACGGUCGCUAAUACCGCAUACCAUCAGAUGUGCCCAGGUGGGAUUAGUUAGUUGGUGGGGUAAUGGCUCACCUAGGCGACGAUCCCUAGCUGGUCUGAGAGGAGGACCAGCCACACUGGAACUCAGACACGGCCCAGACGCCUACGGGAGGCAGCAGUGGGGAAUAUUGCGCAAUGGGAGCAACCCGGACGCAGCCAUGCCGCGUUGGUGAAGAAGGCCUUCGGGUUGUAAAGCACUUUCGGUGAGGAGGCGUUACUCGCAGAAGAAGCACCGGCUAACUCCGUGCCAGCAGCCGCGGUAAUAC